rnacentral:rRNA from 1 species
CCUACGGGAGGCAGCAGUGAGGAAUAUUGGUCAAUGGGCGGAAGCCUGAACCAGCCAAGUAGCGUGCAGGAUGACGGCCCUACGGGUUGUAAACUGCUUUUAUACGGGAAUAACGAGCCUUACGUGUAGGGCUUUGCAUGUACCGUAUGAAUAAGGACCGGUUAAUUCCGUGCCAGCAGCCGCGGUAAAUCGGAAGGUCCGGGCGUUCUCCGGAUUUUUUGGGUUUAAAGGGAGCGUAGGCCGCAUGUCAAGCGUGCUGUGAAAUGUGCGGGCUAAACCCGGGCCUUGCAGCGCGAACUGGCGUGCUUGAGUCCGCGGAAAGCAGGCGGAAUUCGUCGUGUAGCGGUGAAAUGCUUAGAUAUGACGAAGAACCCCGAUUGCGAAGGCAGCUUGCUGCAGCGGAACUGACGCUGAUGCUCGAAAGCGCGGGUAUCGAACAGGAUUAGAUACCCGGGUAGUC